AACCUGCCCACUGAAAAUUUUAAAUGGCCGCAGUAUUUUGACUGUGCAAAGGUAGCAUAAUCAUUAGUCUUUUAAUUGAAGGCUGGAAUGAAUGGUUGGACGAAAUAUUAACUGUUUCAUAUUAAAUUAUAAUAAAAUUUUAUAUUUUAGUAAAAAAGCUAAGAUAUUAUUAAAAGACGAGAAGACCCUAUAAAUCUUUAUAUUUACUGAGUUUAUAAAAAUUAGAAAUUAAAUUUUAUUUAUUUAUAUAAAUAUUUUAUUGGGGUGAUAUUAAAAUUUAAUUAACUUUUAUUUAUUUAUACAUUAAUUUAUGAUUUUUUGAUCUUUUAAUAUUGAUUAAUAGAAUAAGUUACUUUAGGGAUAACAGC
rnacentral:rRNA from 1 species